UUCAGGUCCGUUUCGAAAUUAUUCCACAGAUUAACACCUUUGAUAGAUACACUUCUUUGCUUGAUGUUUGUUCUUGUUUUGAGUUUUUUGAAUAAGUUGGUACCGCUUAAAUCAUAGCAGGUUAUUGUGUGCUUUGUACAUUAAUUGGGCGAUUUUAAAA